AGCAGCCGCGGUAAUUCCAGCUCCAAUAGCGUAUAUUAAAGUUGUUGCAGUUAAAAAGCUCGUAGUUGAAUUUCGGGGUUAGUAGGUUGGUCAUGCCUCUGGUAUGUACUGAUCUCACUGAUUCCUCCUUCCUUAUGAACCGUAAUGCCAUUAAUUUGGUGUUGCGGGGAAUUUGGACUGUUACUUUGAAAAAAUUAGAGUGUUUAAAGCAAGCUAACGCUUGAAUACAUUAGCAUGGAAUAAUGAAAUAGGACGUUCGAUCUUAUUUUGUUGGUUUCUAGGAUUGACGUAAUGAUUAAUAGGGAUAGUUGGGGGCAUUAGUAUUCAAUUGUCAGAGGUGAAAUUCUUGGAUUUAUUGAGGACUAACUACUGCGAAAGCAUUUGCCAAGGAUGUUUUCAUUAAUCAAGAACGAAAGUUAGGGGAUCGAAGACGAUCAGAUACCGUCGUAGUCUUAACCAUAAACUAUGCCGACUAGGGAUCGGAUGAUGUUAAUUUUUUAAUGACUCAUUCGGCGCCUUA
rnacentral:rRNA from 1 species